UUCCUACGGGACGCAGCAGUGAGGAAUAUUGGUCAAUGGGCGGGAGCCUGAACCAGCCAUGCCGCGUGACGGCGCGUGCCCUCCGGGCGUUCCCCUUCUUUUGUGCGGGCGCACUAAGGGCCACGUGUGGCCCGAUGAGAGUACCGCACGAAUAAGCAUCGGCUAACUCCGUGCCAGCAGCCGCGGUAAUACGGGGGAUGCGAGCGUUAUCCGGAUCUAUUGGGUUUAAAGGGUGCGUAGGCGGCGCUUCAGGUCAGCGGUG
rnacentral:rRNA from 1 species